rnacentral:rRNA from 2 species
GGGCCGACAUAAUGUUGUUUUGUGCGGUAAAGCGAAUGAUUAGCUUAUUUGGGGGCAUUUAGCCUUCAGACGAUUCUCAAACUUUCAAUGCGCAAGGGUGUUGCUGCUUAAUUGAGCUUCACCGGUAAAAACGUCGGCCCUGUGGGCCACUUUUGGUAAGCAGAACUGGCGAUACGGGAUGAACCGUAAGCACGGUUAAGGCGCCGGACUACUCGCUUAUAGAUCCCACAAAAGGUGUUGAUUCAUCGAGACAGCAGGACGGUGGCCAUGGAAGUCGGAAUCCGCCAAGGAGUGUGUAACAACUCACCUGCCGAAUGAAUUAGCCCUGAAAAUGGAUGGCGCUUAAGCGGGUGGCCGACACCGUGCCGUCUGAAUGAUAAAUUUCAGAUGAGUAGGAGGACGUGGUGAUCGUGACGAAGUAUGCGUGCGAACGCGUAUCGAACGAUCACUAGUGCAGAUCUUGGUGGUAGUAGCAAAUAUUCAAGCGAGAUCCUUGAAGGGCGAAGCGGGGAAGGGUUCCACGCUAACAUUGAUUGGGCGUGGGUGAGUCGUUCCUAAGCCGAGUGGCAAUUGCUAAGUAACGGCGAAAGGGAAGCGGGUUUACAUUCCCGCACACGGAUGUGGAGGCGGUGACGCUUUAUUGGGGCGAACACGCUGGCGAUGGCGCUGGGCAGAGUUGUCUUUUCUGUUUGACCGUAUGCGCAUGCGGUGUGGAGUCCGCUUGUCGGGAGAAACACGCAUGCGCGGGCAUAGCGCCGGGGCUUUUCCGGCGUCCAGCUCGCCAUCGACGGCCCUUGAAACUUUGCCUGCUGGUUUUAGAAUCCACGCCGUGGCGUACCGAUCACCGCAUCAGGUCCCCGAGGUGAACAGCCUCUGCUCAAUAUGAAAAAUGCAGGUAAGGGAAGUCGGCAAAUUAGACCCGUAACUUUGGGAAAAGGGUUGGCUCUAGUGCUGCGUGGGAGUGGUUGUCAAGUUGUGGCGCUCUCGAAGGUACUGAUUUGCGCGAUGCUUCGGUGUUGUUCGGUCGGCGCCAUUGAUUGUGCUGCUCUUGACGACGCCCACAGCAUGCAGCAGACUAGAACUGCAACGGGCAAAGGGAAUCCGACUGUUUAAUUAAAACAAAGCAUUGCGAGGGCCGUGGCCGGUGAU